rnacentral:misc_RNA from 1 species
GACUUAAAGCUGUGAAGCCAUGGCAGUAGGUUUUCAAGGCAACAACCCUGAAAUUUCACAAUUUUACAUUCACUAUCAGUGACGACGCCCUUUUGCAACAACUUUUCAGCGUCAUCCCAAAAAAGUGUCCAAUGUGGACUACGAAGUGUUUCAAUAACGGAACUGUCAGGACCAAUGGUCAAGCAUUCCAACUUUCUUAAGCCUUGCAUCAACUCUUUCAGUUGAAAUAAAAAUUCUGUAUUAUGAACGAACAAGAUGUUUGCGGAGCUAAAGCCUCCACACAAUUCAACCUUUUUGCACCCAUCGAUAUUCAAGUUAGAUAUCAUCGGAAGGCUUUCAAAUGAAACCAUCAAUUGCAAACAUUCUCUAAUAUAAAGUUCUUGCAAUGAAGGCAGAUGGCUGGG